ACAGCUCUGUCAAUAUGUUUAUAACCGGACUUUACAUUUUGGAGAAGACAGAAUGAUUUAGUUAAACUGCACAUAUUUGCUACUUUUUUUUUUUUCGAUGAAACAUAUUUGCUACUUUGCUAGCGGUCAACUAUAACAAAGUUAAGAAACCAUUAAUGAUUCUGACUGGAUGUAGUUCUUCAGUUCCAAUGAGCCAAAAGAUACUAUUAAUUCACUAGCUUCAGUCAGGUGUCAUGUUAGAUUCUGUGUAUGCCUUCAGGACUCUGCUUUUCUAU
rnacentral:lncRNA from 1 species